AAAUAAGAAGCCGAGCCCAACGUUCAAAUCAUACCUUUCUCGGCCUUUUGGCUAAGAUCAAGUGUAGUAUCUGUUCUUAUCAGUUUAAUAUCUGAUAUGUGGGUCAUCGGCCCACACGAUAUUAACUCUAUUUUUUAAGGGAGGAAGCCCACUAAGAUAGCUUGCUAUCUGGGCUUUCGCGAGUCGCCCAUGCGUUGCACUACUGCACGGACCUGGCUCAACCCGCCAAACUACUAGUUAAAGUUUUGAGAUCUCAGACUCUUUAAAAGUUUGGGUCGGUAUCAGAAAUUAGCUACUUCUGAAGUAAAUCUUUGAACUUUUGUUUGUCUCUGGGUAAAAAUCUGAAUGGUAGUUGUUCGAUUUUCCUCUGAUUCUGCUCGUAUCAGACUGCAGCCACAAUGGCAUUGGCUGGCUAUGAAAUAUGGCUAAAAAAAGAAUCUUCAAUCAAAUUGUGUCAUGUGAAUCUCAUCUGCGAUCUACGGUUUGAUGGAUAAUCAUCAGGAUGCCAUGUUUAUGAAUCUGUUUUACCAGGCUAGCAGAAACUACGUUAUAUCAAUGUUGAUGUCUAUAGGUUUUGUUAGUUAAACAUUGCUAUACUAUACUAUCACUGAGAUGCUGUAAGAAGAAAAAUGAAGACAGGCCAAAGAUGAUCGAAGUAGCUUAAGGAGCUCAAAGUGAAUUCAGAUAUCACAUUUUGAGAUCCUCUGUUCUGAUAUUUAUAGACUCUACAAAAGUUUUAUUACAUUUGCUUGGAUUAUGUGAAGCUUGGUUUAUGAAUUAUGAAAUUCAGAUUCUUA